UAAGAGCGAAACUCCGUCUUGGGAGGCGGGGGGGGGGGGCAUGUGGGAAGAAGCCACCCGAGGAGCCUGGUAGGGUGAUGAAAGUGAGAGCAGAGGUGUAGCUCAGGGCCGUGCAGCACCUCGGCUUUGGCUCUUUGCAGGCUGUAGAAGCAGAAUCGUAAGACUUCUCCUGGCUUGUUUCUUUCCAUUUCUCGAUUUGACUCCUCAGCCUGCUCUUCUGGCUCCCUGCUGUCUAAUGGAAUUCCAGAGCUUGACCUUGAGAAUGCAGAUUCUCCCGAUUGACAACUUCUAGAGAAGGGAAUCUCAGAAAGACAAAGGAGAUGUUCCUUCUUCCGCUGCAAGAGUGGAAAAGCAGACACUCUCCUGAGAGCCUCAUAAAGCUGGUGAAAGCCUGUUCUGAUAAAGCACCCAGGAGAUCAUUCCUUCCGCCCCCUGCUCCCAGGACAGGCACUUAGAACUUUUCUUGAUUUCCCUGCAUGAUCUUUGGAAUCAGCUUGUCAAGAUCCAAAAUAAUCCUGUUGGUAUGUUUGUUUGUAUCCCAUUAAAAUUAUAGAUGAAAAGAUAGAAAGAUGGUAUCUUUUCUUCAAUUGACUCCUCUAGCCAAAAAUGGAUAUGACUUUUUCCUUUAUUCAAGUCUCAUGGCACAUAAUAGCCUUUGAAAGUUUUAGUCAUAUAGUUCCUGUACAUUCCUUGUGAAGUAACUCAUUCAUUUAAACAUUUGAAUAGUAUUCUAUUAUAUUUCAUUCCAUGGUUUAUUUAAUCAUUCUAUCUUUGAAUGGCAUUUGAAUAAAUCUGUUUCCAAGUUUAUUCUGUUACAUAUAGCACUGCAAAGAGUAUCCCUGCAAAAAUAUGUAUUUGGAAAUGAUGUUACUAUAAAUGAAGUUGAUGGACCAAAGGAUUUUAAAAAUAUAAAAUAAUAAGAUAAUAAAGGUCAUGCUAAUAUAAAAAUAAA